ACAUUUGCGCCCCGAAUCGGUGCUUUCGGCAUGAUGGUGCGCGAAAGAUAAACGGGAAACAGGAAGGUUCGACGCAAGACGCGCGGCGCGUGUCCCGUCCGCCCAGCCUGUGCUGCCCCCGCAACGGUCCCCAUGGCGCUUCGCCAUGGCAGCCCGAUACCGGCCGGUUCGAUCGCGAGGAC
rnacentral:ncRNA from 1 species